rnacentral:rRNA from 1 species
CAUAGCCUCGGCGCAGCAGUGAGGAAUAUUGGUCAAUGGGCGGGAGCCUGAACCAGCCAAGUCGCGUGAGGGAAGACGGUCCUAUGGAUUGUAAACCUCUUUAGGCGGGGAGCAAUGCCGGGCACGCGUGCCCGGAGGGAGAGUACCCGCAGAAUAAGCAUCGGCUAACUCCGUGCCAGCAGCCGCGGUAAUACGGAGGAUGCGAGCGUUAUCCGGAUUUAUUGGGUUUAAAGGGUGCGUAGGCGGAUUUUUAAGUCAGCGGUAAA